rnacentral:tRNA from 1 species
CGGGAUGUAGCGCAGCUUGGUAGCGCACCUCGUUCGGGACGAGGGGGUCGCAAGUUCAAAUCUUGUCAUCCCGA